AGAGUUUGAUCCUGGCUCAGGACGAACGCUGGCGGCGCGCCUAACACAUGCAAGUCGAACGAGCGAGAGAGAGCUUGCUUUCUCGAGCGAGUGGCGAACGGGUGAGUAACGCGUGAGGAACCUGCCUCAAAGAGGGGGACAACAGUUGGAAACGACUGCUAAUACCGCAUAAGCCCACGGCUCGGCAUCGAGCAGAGGGAAAAGGAGCAAUCCGCUUUGAGAUGGCCUCGCGUCCGAUUAGCUAGUUGGUGAGGUAACGGCCCACCAAGGCGACGAUCGGUAGCCGGACUGAGAGGUUGAACGGCCACAUUGGGACUGAGACACGGCCCAGACUCCUACGGGAGGCAGCAGUGGGGAAUAUUGCACAAUGGGGGAAACCCUGAUGCAGCGACGCCGCGUGGAGGAAGAAGGUCUUCGGAUUGUAAACUCCUGUUGUUGAGGAAGAUAAUGACGGUACUCAACAAGGAAGUGACGGCUAACUACGUGCCAGCAGCCGCGGUAAAACGUAGGUCACAAGCGUUGUCCGGAAUUACUGGGUGUAAAGGGAGCGCAGGCGGGAAGACAAGUUGGAAGUGAAAUCCAUGGGCUCAACCCAUGAACUGCUUUCAAAACUGUUUUUCUUGAGUAGUGCAGAGGUAGGCGGAAUUCCCGGUGUAGCGGUGGAAUGCGUAGAUAUCGGGAGGAACACCAGUGGCGAAGGCGGCCUACUGGGCACCAACUGACGCUGAGGCUCGAAAGUGUGGGUAGCAAACAGGAUUAGAUACCCUGGUAGUCCACACCGUAAACGAUGAUUACUAGGUGUUGGAGGAUUGACCCCUUCAGUGCCGCAGUUAACACAAUAAGUAAUCCACCUGGGGAGUACGACCGCAAGGUUGAAACUCAAAGGAAUUGACGGGGGCCCGCAC
rnacentral:rRNA from 1 species